GGCGAACGGGUGAGUAACGCGUGGAUAACCUGCCCUGAGGUGGGGAACAACCGAGGGAAACUUCGGCUAAUACCGCAUAACACCGAGAGGUCAAAGGGGGCUCGCAAGAGCUUCCGCCGCAGGAGGGGUCCGCGUCCGAUUAGCUAGUUGGUGGGGUAAUGGCCUACCAAGGCGACGAUCGGUAGCCGGCCUGAGAGGGUGAUCGGCCACACUGGAACUGAGACACGGUCCAGACUCCUACGGGAGGCAGCAGUGGGGAAUUUUGCGCAAUGGGCUAACGCCUGACGCAGCAACGCCGCGUGGAGGAUGAAGGUCUUUGGAUUGUAAACUCCUGUCAGCAGGGAAAAAGCGACCUAGGUUAAUACCCUGGGGAGUUGAUUGUACCUGCAGAGGAAGCCCCGGCUAACUCUGUGCCAGCAGCCGCGGUAAUACAGAGGGGGCAAGCGUUAUUCGGAAUUAUUGGGCGUAAAGGGCGCGUAGGCGGCUUUGCAAGUGGCGGGUGAAAUCCCUCGGCUUAACCGAGGAACUGCCUGCCAGACUGUGAGGCUUGAGACCGGGAGAGGUGAGUGGAAUUCCCAGUGUAGCGGUGAAAUGCGUAGAUAUUGGGAGGAACACCAGUGGCGAAGGCGGCUCACUGGACCGGAACUGACGCUGAGGCGCGAAAGCGUGGGGAGCAAACAGGAUUAGAUACCCUGGUAGUCC
rnacentral:rRNA from 1 species